rnacentral:rRNA from 1 species
AGUGAACGCUGGCGGUAGGCCUAACACAUGCAAGUCGAACGGCGGCACAGUAAGAGCUUGCUCUUACGGGUGGCGAGUGGCGGACGGGUGAGGAAUACAUCGGAAUCUACUUUUUCGUGGGGGAUAACGUAGGGAAACUUACGCUAAUACCGCAUACGACCUACGGGUGAAAGCAGGGGAUCUUCGGACCUUGCGCGAUUGAAUGAGCCGAUGUCGGAUUAGCUAGUUGGCGGGGUAAAGGCCCACCAAGGCGACGAUCCGUAGCUGGUCUGAGAGGAUGAUCAGCCACACUGGAACUGAGACACGGUCCAGACUCCUACGGGAGGCAGCAGUGGGGAAUAUUGGACAAUGGGCGCAAGCCUGAUCCAGCCAUACCACGUGGGUGAAGAAGGCCUUCGGGUUGUAAAGCCCUUUUGUUGGGAAAGAAAAGCAGCAGGUUAAUACCCCGCUGUUCUGACGGUACCCAAAGAAUAAGCACCGGCUAACUUCGUG